rnacentral:rRNA from 1 species
CCUACGGGUGGCAGCAGUGAGGAAUAUUGGUCAAUGGACGAGAGUCUGAACCAGCCAAGUAGCGUGAAGGAUGACUGCCCUAUGGGUUGUAAACUUCUUUUAUAUGGGAAUAAAAUGUUCCACGUGUGGGAUUUUGUAUGUACCAUAUGAAUAAGGAUCGGCUAACUCCGUGCCAGCAGCCGCGGUAAUACGGAGGAUCCGAGCGUUAUCCGGAUUUAUUGGGUUUAAAGGGAGCGUAGAUGGAUUGUUAAGUCAGUUGUGAAAGUUUGCGGCUCAACCGUAAAAUUGCAGUUGAAACUGGCAGUCUUGAGUACAGUAGAGGUGGGCGGAAUGCGUGGUGUAGCGGUGAAAUGCUUAGAUAUCACGAAGAACUCCGAUUGCGAAGGCAGUUCACUGGACUGCAACUGACACUGAUGCUCGAAAGUGUGGGUAUCAAACAGGAUUAGAUACCCUUGUAGUC